UCGAAUCCGACCAGGAUCUGCUCACUGUAAAUCUAAGCCUACUAUAUAUGGCUCAACUUGCAAUCGAGGAAGAGCAACAUGAGGCGAAGCAGCCAUGGAAGCACCCUUUCAAUAGGUCAGUUUCCCCUUGUAACGUGGCCUUGUUUGCGUCGGCCCACCCAAGAAGCCACGGAUAAGCUUAUCCAAUGCCCUCUCCUUAUUACCAAUGGUGACCCCUUUCGGGUCCUUAUAACAUUAAGAACGUAGUCUUCAUUGAGCUAUAGAACAGCAGUUGGUCAUCAGAUGGGUGGGGUCGAUGGUGGUUCCUCUGUCUCAGCAAUGGCUCUUAGUUAUUUUGGCUUCCGCAACAACAAGCAGGAGGAGGGAGGAGUGCAGCAAGAAACAGAGAGCAUGAGGAAGACGAUGGGGAAGAGGAGAGAGGAGGAGGAGGAAGGAAAGGCGAGGAAGAGUUCGGAGGCCAGUGGAAGGGCAGCCCGAUUUGCAGUGGAGUUGGAUGGCCUGCACUGCUUCGAGACCUUGAUAGCUCAUUAAUGGACACUAAAGGUUUUAGAUUUCAUACAUAAGUCAACAUAAUCAAUCCUAAACUUCUACUUCUUCUUCUUCUUCUUCUUCCUUUUGUUGUGCUCGAAGGUUGUCAUUCAUCAGAGGUAGUAUCAUCGAGUAUUCAAGCCCUAUGUUACUUUCUUGUUGCGUUGACACUGGUAACAAAUGUCAUUGAUUCAUCAUCAAUUUGUCGGUGGUAAGUUAAAAUAAUUGAUCGGUGAAGUAAGUCUAUCUUGUUGGAGCA